rnacentral:rRNA from 1 species
UACGUAGGGGGCAAGCGUUGUCCGGAUUUAUUGGGCGUAAAGAGCGUGUAGGCGGCCAUACAGGUCCGUUGUGAAAACUGGAGGCUUAACCUCCAGACGUCGAUGGAAACCGUAUGGCUAGAGUCCGGAAGAGGAGAGUGGAAUUCCUGGUGUAGCGGUGAAAUGCGCAGAUAUCAGGAAGAACACCCGUGGCGAAGGCGGCUCUCUGGGACGGUACUGACGCUGAGGCACGAAGGUCAGGGGAGCAAACGGG